AAAGGGAGACCUAAUUCGGGUAUAAGACGAAAAAAUAGUAGUCGAAACCAAGAAUCAAUCCCAAAAGGUCGGAACGAGGUAUGUGGCUUUCAAACUAGGUUCUGGGUUCAUAAAAGACCUGAAUCAGGAACAAGGGCUAUUAGCUCAGGUGGUUAGAGCGCACCCCUGAUAAGGGUGAGGUCCCUGGUUCGAGUCCAGGAUGGCCCACCUGCACAGGUGGCAAAAACAAGAGAAGCGAGGAAUCAGCACCUUAUCCUAAUUUAUAUAUAGGAGAGAAUGCUGGCUCUGAGUAAAGAGUCCAGAGGAACCUUGAAAACUGCAUAGAGCUAGGUGAAAAAGCCAAAAAAGAAGGCCGCAAG
rnacentral:tRNA from 1 species